UGGGAGAGCCGGCUUCACCCAG
rnacentral:misc_RNA from 1 species